AGAGGCUAAAAUGUGUGGGGUUUUUUUCAUUUUAAUCUUGUAGUUUGAAAAACUACUAUAGGAAGAUAUAGUUUCUAGUACCAAUGGAAUUGAGACUAAUGGGCCAGUUAAGGGAAGAACGACGUCGUCUGCAAAGAGGAAGACCUUAAUUUCUCUGUUAUAUGACAAUCCCCUUUAUAUUACUAUUCUGUCUAAUCAUACUGGCUAGAGGUUCAAUCGUAAGAAUAUAUAGCAGGGGUGCCAAAGGACAACCCUGUCUAGUACCGUUUUUAACCUCAAAGGGGUCAGAUUUAAAAAAAAAAAAAAAAGGGGGUAUUUUAGCUGUAUAAUUCCUAUAUAACAGCAUGGGAUUUAUUCCUAAAUU